AUCCGCUGUGGACGCUAGGAAACUUGAGGGAAUCUGUCUCUAGUACGAGAGGACCGAGAUGGACGCACCGCUGGUGUACCAAUUGUCGUACCAACGGCAUUGUUGGGUAGCUAAGUGCGGACUAGAUAAGCGCUGAAAGCAUAUUAAGCGCGAAACUAAUCCCAAGAUUAGGUUUCCCUAUGACCUCCCUGAAAGACGAUCAGGUUGAUAGGCGCAAGGUGAAAGUGCGGUAACGUAUUGAGCCGAAGCGUACUAAUAGAGGCAUUGACUUUUUACG
rnacentral:rRNA from 1 species